AUAAGCGCACACGGUGGAUGCCUUGGCGGUCAGAGGCGAUGAAGGACGUGGCAGCCUGCGAAAAGUAUCGGGGAGCUGGCAACAAGCUUUGAUCCGGUAAUGUCCGAAUGGGGAAACCCACCCGCUUGCGGGUAUCCUGCAGUGAAUACAUAGCUGCUGGAAGCGAACCUGGUGAACUGAAAUAUCUAAGUAACCAGAGGAAAAGAAAUCAACCGAGAUUCCGUAAGUAGCGACGAGCGAACGCGGACUAGCCCUUAAGCUGGAUUGGUUCUAGGAAAACGCUCUGGAAAGAGCGGCCAUAGAAGGUGAUAGCCCUGUAUCUGAAAGGGCCAUUCCAGUGAAGACGAGUAGGGCGGGGCACGUGAAACCCUGUCUGAACAUGGGGGGACCAUCCUCCAAGGCUAAAUACUACUGACCGACCGAUAGUGAACCAGUACCGUGAGGGAAAGGCGAAAAGAACCCCGGAGAGGGGAGUGAAAUAGAACCUGAAACCGUGUGCGUACAAGCAGUAGGAGCUCCGCAAGGAGUGACUGCGUACCUUUUGUAUAAUGGGUCAGCGACUUACUGUUCGUGGCAAGCUUAACCGUAUAGGGGAGGCGAAGGGAAACCGAGUCUGAUAAGGGCGCAUAGUCGCGGGCAGUAGACCCGAAACCGGGUGAUCUAGUCAUGCCCAGGGUGAAGGUGCGGUAACACGCACUGGAGGCCCGAACCCACUCCCGUUGCAAAGGUAGGGGAUGAGGUGUGAUUAGGAGUGAAAAGCUAAUCGAACCCGGAGAUAGCUGGUUCUCCUCGAAAGCUAUUUAGGUAGCGCCUCAUAUGUAUCCUCUCGGGGGUAGAGCACUGUUAUGGCUAGGGGGUCAUCGCGACUUACCAAACCAUUGCAAACUCCGAAUACCGAGACGGACUGUAUGGGAGACACACGGCGGGUGCUAACGUCCGUCGUGAAAAGGGAAACAACCCAGACCCACAGCUAAGGUCCCAAAUUCACUGCUAAGUGGAAAACCAUGUGGAAAGGCACAGACAGCCAGGAGGUUGGCUUAGAAGCAGCCACCCUUUAAAGAAAGCGUAAUAGCUCACUGGUCGAGUCGGUCUGCGGGGAAGAUUUAACGGGGCUAAGCAGUGAACCGAAGCUUGGGGUGCAUAACUUUGUUAUGCGCGGUAGAGGAGCGUUCCGUAAGCCGUUGAAGGUGGAUUGAGAAGUCUGCUGGAGGUAUCGGAAGUGCGAAUGCUGACAUGAGUAACGAUAAUGCGGGUGAAAAACCCGCACGCCGAAAGCCCAAGGUUUCCUUGCGCAACGUUAAUCGGCGCAGGGUGAGUCGGCCCCUAAGGCGAGGACGAAAGUCGUAGUCGAUGGGAAGCAGGUUAAUAUUCCUGCACCUCGCGUAAGUGCGAUGGAGGGACGGAGAAGGUUAGGUGUACCAGGCGUUGGUUGUCCUGGGGAAAGGCGGUAGGUUUGGAUCUUUGGCAAAUCCGGGAUCCUUUAAGACCGAGCACCGAGACGAGCCUUUAUGGCGAAGUCACUGAUACCACGCUUCCAGGAAAAGCUCCUAAGCUUCAGCUUACGCAGACCGUACCGUAAACCGACACAGGUGGGUAGGAUGAGAAUUCUCAGGCGCUUGAGAGAACUCGGGUGAAGGAACUAGGCAACAUGGCACCGUAACUUCGGGAGAAGGUGCACCCUUUUUGGUGGCUCGUGCGAGCUAUAGCUGAAGAGGGUCGCAGUAACCAGGCCGCUGCGACUGUUUAUCAAAAACACAGCACUCUGCAAACACGAAAGUGGACGUAUAGGGUGUGACGCCUGCCCGGUGCUGGAAGGUUAAUUGAUGGGGUCAGCCGCAAGGCGAAGCUCUUGAUCGAAGCCCCAGUAAACGGCGGCCGUAACUAUAACGGUCCUAAGGUAGCGAAAUUCCUUGUCGGGUAAGUUCCGACCUGCACGAAUGGCGUAACGACAGCGGCGCUGUCUCCACCCGAGACUCAGUGAAAUUGAAAUCGCUGUGAAGAUGCAGCGUUCCCGUGGCAAGACGGAAAGACCCCGUGAACCUUUACUAUAGCUUUACACUGAACGUUGAGUUCGUCUGUGUAGGAUAGGUGGGAGGCUAUGAAACCAUGGCGCUAGCUGUGGCGGAGCCAUCCUUGAAAUACCACCCUGUCGUGCUUGACGUUCUAACCUGGGCCCAUUAUCUGGGUCGGGGACCGUGUAUGGUGGGUAGUUUGACUGGGGCGGUCUCCUCCUAAAGAGUAACGGAGGAGCUCGAAGGUACGCUCAGCGCGGUCGGACAUCGCGCACUGUGUGCAAAGGCAUAAGCGUGCUUGACUGCAAGAUCGACGGAUCAAGCAGGUAGGAAACUAGGACUUAGUGAUCCGGUGGUUCUGUAUGGAAGGGCCAUCGCUCAACGGAUAAAAGGUACUCCGGGGAUAACAGGCUGAUACCGCCCAAGAGUUCAUAUCGACGGCGGUGUUUGGCACCUCGAUGUCGGCUCAUCACAUCCUGGGGCUGUAGUCGGUCCCAAGGGUAUGGCUGUUCGCCAUUUAAAGUGGUACGCGAGCUGGGUUCAGAACGUCGUGAGACAGUUCGGUCCCUAUCUGCCAUGGGCGUUGGAGAUUUGAGAGGGGCUGCUCCUAGUACGAGAGGACCGGAGUGGACGAACCUCUGGUGUUCCGGUUGUCACGCCAGUGGCAUUGCCGGGUAGCUAUGUUCGGAAGCGAUAACCGCUGAAAGCAUCUAAGCGGGAAGCGCGCCUCAAGAUGAGAUCUCCCGGGGCACAAGCCCCCUGAAGGAACCAUGUAGACUACGUGGUUGAUAGGUCAGGUGUGUAAGUACAGCAAUGUAUUGAGCUAACUGAUACUAAUGAUCCGUGCGGCUUGACC
rnacentral:rRNA from 1 species